AUCGGGCGGGGCAGGUCACCCCGCCAGGCCUGCUGUGUCCACCAGGUCCUCUGUGCCCAUUUCUCGAUGUUCCUGCGAGACUCGUCGUCUAAGGCUUUGGAGUUCCGGACUCAUCACACUGUCCCCCUCCACCCCGCCACCGUUAACUGCGCGACAAAGAAAGGAACCCAGGACUGGCGGUUUUCUUUGUUAAAAAGAAAGAAAGAAAGAAAAGCUUUCUUUGUUGCCGAAAGAACUCGGAAUCAUCCUUAAGCCCUUAAACUUGUAGCUGUUAUGUCUCCGUAGUGUAAGGAAGACUGCCUGCCAUGCAACUUUUUCUGAUACUAAAUUCACCCAGUCCUUACUUGACGAUUAAAAAUAGCUAUUGAGGUAAUUAAAACAUGAUCUUGUGUCUGUUAGCGGUUUAGAUGUGGAAUUCAUUCGAGUAUUUCAUAAGAACAAGACUUCAUUUCUUCGUAUGUCCAUGGCCUUCAGACGUAUUUCCAUAUCCUUCAGAAAUAGUCUUGAAAUGAUGAGUAAUGUAUACUUAGUUCUGAAGGAAAGUUAAUUUUUUUUAUUAAAAUGAUAAGCUUAAAUGUCCAAUAUUUCUAAAUACACGACGUCUUUUGUCUUUGAUGUGUAAAUAACGUGCAUUCAAAGAGCAAUUGCGAUUAGAUAAAUGUGAAAAGAGAAAAAAAGUUAUUUAGUUGAAUGCAGCUAUUGACAAGACUUGAACCCUGACAGAUCUUCACGGCCCAUUAUAGGAAACUUUCAAAAGGCACAUCUGUUUUAACUAGAGAAGCAAUAUUAUUAGUUUUUGGAACUAAAAUGUAAAGCCUCUUCAUUUAAUCGUUUUACUAGGAACAGUGAAAGGCUUUUGAGGUGUAACAGCUGCUCUUCACAACUGCAUUUUCUGCUUAGACAUUAAAAUAAUGAUUUAGGAUUUGAAUUUGAUUUUUUUUUUUAAUAAAAAGAAAAUCUUUGAACUGGUACACAUUUGAGUAUUGCUGUUUUCAAAUUCGUUUGGAAGUUUAAACGCACACCAAAAUAAAUUCUGGGCAUUAGCUUACUCAGAAAAACAACUUUUGAAAUGUUGCCUCCAGACAAAAUUAACAUACUGACACACUUGGAAGGUCCAAUUGUUGGCUAUCUAGGCCAACUCAAGCCACAAGGAAAGGAUUCCCUGUGGUGUACUCUAUUUGUAAACUUUAUAUACUUUAUAAACCCUCAAGGCAGGAAAGCCACAGCUCUCAGCUGGCUGAACACAAAGCAGUCAGGCCCCGCACCCAGACUUCCCUAACAGCCCUAAAGGUCAUCUUCUAAGGGCUACUGCAGUCAUUCAUUCGCAACCUGAGCUAUGAAAGUGGCCAAGAAAGUGCCCUACAAGAAAAAAAAAAAAAAUCCCGCCACCCCCUGAAAAGGAAGUCUCAUUAGUCCCUGGCUUGUCACAGAAACCAGUUCCUGAGCAUGAAAACCAACAAAUCCCUGAGCAGAAAAAUUCACCAAUCCCUGAAAAUACCAAACUCUGGACUUGAAAUCCCAACAGUCCUCAGCCUGGAAAACUGGACAGCUCCGCCCCCUAAGAAAUCCUAUGGAAGGCCUGCCUUCAGCUCAGUCAGGGGCUGUUUUCUCACCUGAGCAGAGGCAGCAGUCCUGCGGUUUUCUCUCCCAAUAAAUCCCUUGUGUG
rnacentral:lncRNA from 1 species